rnacentral:lncRNA from 1 species
GAUAACUUAUAGACGAAUCAUAAAUAUUGAGAGAUAGAUAGAAUUUAGAGUUGCAUUCUUGUAAAAAUGAAGAUAACAUCUGACCUGCUGAUCUAGUUUCACACCUUAUAAAUUAUCUUGCAGGGAAAUGCAGAUCACAGAACAUUUCUUCCAAGUAUCAGAACUGUGGGAUACACCGAGAUGGAGUCCAUGAUUUAGAUUGUUUUGGUAAACUUAAAUCACCUGGAAUAAAAGACUGUGUGUGGAAACCUGGAAACCGCACAUCAGCAAAGACAUACACACUCAUUAUACAACAACAAAGUAAACAUUGCAAAGAAUACUACAACAUCACUGAAGUCUCGAAAAGUAUCAAAUUAUUUGAAAAUUACAACAUGACUGCUGAGGUUUUUGAAAACAGCGAGUCAACACAUUGCACAAAAGCAGUUUUCAAAGGUUCACCCAAGAGCUUGGGUAAGUCCACAAACAUGUAUUUUCAUGAGCAAUAUCUCUAUUUGAUGAUAAAUCUCUGA